CAAUCCCGGACUCACCUCCCUGCAAGUACGUUUGUUAUAUAGUAUCUAGCGGUACGCGUAGAUACAAAAAAACGCAGCGCUUAAUCGAAGCAUCAUCUGAAAAAUUGUUCGCGAUGCCCAACCGCGGAAGGAAAACACCUUUAGUACGAAUUUGCAAUCUUUAAGAGGCCUCGGAACGAUUUUCUUCUGCAUUUUAGUGUUUUUAUAUUAUAGUUUGCUAUUAUUUCUUGUUAUCGAUUGCAAAUCAAUAUUUUAUUUACUCGGGCAGAUAGAAGGAAAAAACAUAUCGAGGGACAAUUCCAUUUUGCCUUCAUAUUGUGCCCUGAAGGCUAGUUUGUAUGUUUCUGUAUGUUGGCCACGUUGAAAUCUCUUGUGGGCUUCUGCCGACACGUGUUUCUUCGAAUGUUGUAUUAAACUCUAUUGCAGUUAAAAAAUGUGAAAUUUCAAAUACAUUUCUAACACAAAUUCACAUACGACUAGCGUUAUACGUCUAUAGGCAGAUGUCAUCCUAAGAGCUCCCAUUUCUAAAUGUAAAAUGGCUAGUUAUAAAACUUACGAUGGGCAGUUCUAAAAUUGAGUUUUCCAGCGACUGUUCUAUGAAAAUUAGUUGUAAAUUAAACGCCCGUACAGAUAUUUAAGGUAAAAACCAAACCAAAUGUCACUCUAAAAACGCAGGAAAUGGCCAUUCUGGGCUUCUAAAGUUCGCAAUUUUCCGGGGUAGCAUGCUCCACAACUCUCCUGGCUAUUCGGGUAUCUGAUACGUCAUGACCUCGUCUUUUGUUCCUGCAACACAGCUGGUCUGUGUUCACUAGCUCACAGUCUGUUCUUGACGAAACAUAGGAAGCCCAACAGCUAGGCGUGCAUGUGC